CUCUGAGGGACCCUGCACUUGCCUGAACUCGAGAGUGGGCGCUGCCCGAAGUUCUAGGGGAUGUAUGUGCCAUCCAUCGCAUCCCCACAAGUGCAAUCUCCAGCCUGUGCCCUGAGGUCACUUCCCGCAUCGCCCCAUCACCAUCAGGGCCUGUUCUUACUGCCUUCUGCUGUCCCCACAAGACUUGAAUUUCCUGACAGCAGGAACUGCGGCCUCUUCCGUGUGGACUCAAGAUGCAACUGUGCCCUGUGUGUGGAAGGUGUUUAAUAAAUGGAGAAUGGCACCUGCCUUGCCUAGACCUGGGAACACAGCGCUUGGAAGGCGUGGGGAGUGAAGGUCAAAGCCCCGCCCGAAGCAGAGACGCAAUGAUUAGGCUCAGGGAGGGCGAAGCACUGUGCAGCCUCGGGAGCCUGGGAGGUGGCUGUGAACUUGAAGGACAGUGUUGGUGUUCCUGAGGGUUCGGGGCCACGGGGCACAGGUUAGAGACCACAGAGUC
rnacentral:lncRNA from 1 species